AGAGUUUGAUCAUGGCUCAGAACGAACGCUGGCGGCAUGCCUAACACAUGCAAGUCGAACGAAGCCUUCGGGCUUAGUGGCGCACGGGUGCGUAACGCGUGGGAAUCUGCCCUUGGGUGCGGAAUAACAGUUAGAAAUGACUGCUAAUACCGCAUAAUGACUUCGGUCCAAAGAUCUAUCGCCCAGGGAUGAGCCCGCGUAGGAUUAGCUUGUUGGUGAGGUAAGAGCUCACCAAGGCGACGAUCCUUAGCUGGUCUGAGAGGAUGAUCAGCCACACUGGGACUGAGACACGGCCCAGACUCCUACGGGAGGCAGCAGUGGGGAAUAUUGGACAAUGGGCGAAAGCCUGAUCCAGCAAUGCCGCGUGAGUGAUGAAGGCCUUAGGGUUGUAAAGCUCUUUUACCCGGGAUGAUAAUGACAGUACCGGGAGAAUAAGCCCCGGCUAACUCCGUGCCAGCAGCCGCGGUAAUUC
rnacentral:rRNA from 1 species